rnacentral:sRNA from 1 species
UCGGAAGAGCAACAAGCGUUGUCAGAUUUCUAAUUUGAUAUCCCUCCCCUUUUCUUUUCAUCCCCUUUGAUACUUCUGUUCCUAUGGCUGGGUAGCUAGACAGGCAGUGUAGCCUUGGAUGCCAUCUUUAAUCUGGGCCACACCUUCUGCUGGAGGCCUACGUAAGGACAAUGGAAGAAGGAAGGCUCACUUGAUUCUUUGCCUGCUUUGCGCUUACUUGCCAGUACUCUGUUGGAACCUACCUCGUCAGGAUUCCUGGGUAUACAGAAGGCCAGGUGAAACGACUCGCCUCGUGAGACAGCAACUGCUAGACUUUGGGCUUCCCGUCCACAGCUGCCCAUUGUUGGGUUAGUUGGACUGCAGACUAUAAUUCAUUACAAUCAUUUCUCCUCAUAUAUAGAGAUAUUCCAUAAGUUCUGCGACUCUAGAGAACCCUGACUAAAAACAUGUGACUUUCUUUUCAUGCUUUUUUUUUUUUAAUCUCUUUUUCUUCCAGAUCCUGGGCAUACUUUGAUGCUCUGGGCUUUUCCUUCUCUGAAGACCCUGUGUCCUGCCUCCAUGUUUGUUGAACUCCACUGCGAAAUACGUGCUUUCUCCCUUCUUCUCUAUUUCUCUCCUCAGGCAGUUAUGAGGCCUUACUGAUUACCUUCCUUGUUUUUCGCUCAAACUAUAAUAAACUUGUCCUGGAUCUUCCUCCUUAGCGUACUUAAAAAUUCUUACAUUAAGAAGAUUAAGAUUACGAACACCAGAAGGAAGCCCCGUUUCACCAGGAACAGUAUGAAAGGAAUACUUAUGGUUUUCCAAUGAGUUAUGUUGAGGGCUGGACAGAUGAUGACUCAGCAAAUAAAGGCAUUUGCUACUGGGCCAGGUGACCUGAGGCUAAUCCCCGGGAAAGAGGGGACCAACUUCCUCAAAUUGUCCUCUGAUGGCCACUAGUGCACCAUGAGAAAUUCGGUCUUGUAAAGUGCUGCGCCAGCUCCAGUGGAGCCUGUCUGACAGGAAACAAUCGUGGCCAACAGGCCAGAGAUACGUGUUCCUCGGAACUUAAGCCUCCUGGAGACACUUGGCCACUUCCUCCUCCACUUUCUGCCUAGCUGACUGGAAUAGACUUUCUGCCUAGCUGAUAUUGGAAUAGGUGAUAUGACAUGAUGAUGAUGUAACAGUUAGAGACACUUAUAAAUUAUGUGUAUGGAUGUUUAGCCUGCCUGGACUGAUACGCCCUAUGCCUGGUGCUCACGGAGGCCAGUAGAGGGCGCUGGAUUCCCUGGAACAGAAGUUGCGAGCUGCUGUGUGUGGAUAUUGAAAACCAAACCUGAGUCCUCUGGGAGAGUCGCAAGUACUUUUAACUUCAGAACCAUCUCUCCAGUCCCUAGAGACGCUUCUGGAAAGACCUCUACGUCCAUGUUACACAGGAAUAACGAAUAAAAGGCAGAGGAGAGAUAAGCCUGAAGGAAUCUGUUGCCUUGCAGACUGGACACUCCUCCGCUCAUAAUGACAGUACUCAUCAUCGGUGCCCCGAAGAUUCUAGAUUCAUUUUCUGCUUCAGCCAUUGCAGGUUGCACUGACACCUCAACCAGCGGAUCUGGACUUUACGUACAUCUGAUCUAGGUUUUAUGGUCCAGGCUAUGAAAUGUUCCUUAUAAGACCCUGCACUUCCCCUUUGGGCCCUGAGCUGCUGGUGCUGCUUUGGAAGGUUGAAGAACUGGUAGGAGGUGGAGCCUAACUAAAGAAAGCGGAUGUUUAGCCUGCAUGGACUGAUACGCCCUAUGCCUGGUGCUCGUGGAGGCCAGAAGGGGGCGCUGGAUCCCCUGGAACUGAGGUUGAGAGCUGCUGUGUGGCUAUUGAAAAUCAAACCUGGGUCCUCUGGGAGAGUCACAAGUACUUUUAACUUCAGAACGAUCUCUCCAGCCCCUAGAGACGCUUCUGGAGAGACCUCUACGUCCAUGUUUAGGUGUCAUUCUGUGGCCCAGCCUCUCUUCUUGUCUACUUUCGGCCUCCUGAAGAGGUGAGACAGUGAGGAGUUCCAGCAGCAUGUCCUGCAGUGUCUUCCCUACCACCAUGGACUGUGCCCUCAAACUGUAGCCAAAAUAAACACUCCCCUCCUUAGUUCACUUUUGUACAGAUUGUGUCACAGCAAAAUAUCAAAUAAAGGAUCAAGUCAUCGUGACUGGAAGAGUGUGUUGAAUAAUGAACCCCAAAGAUGUAGAAAAAAAAUCUUUGCAUAUGUCGUAAAAAUGUUCAGAUAAUUAAUGAUUUUAAAAUUCAAAGACCAUCACAGAUUCCCUGAGUGGAUCCCAACCACCAUCUCAGUCUUUAUAAGUGAGAGGCAUAGUGAGCAGACCAUUUGUAGACGGACCAGUAUGACUGAACAGACAGUGCCGAAAACCUAUGGAAAGGGCUGGGCGGGAACAUCAGAGGCAGCCUGGAUCUUGUCAGUGAACUUCAAGAGCAGCUCCUCUGGAGUCUUGGGCACUCGCCUCUCUGGUCUGUCCAUCCUGAGGUCCUGCAAUGUCCUGUAAAUUCAUGUGACCUCAGCUGUGGGAUUAAGAGUGGAACUGAGAGAUUGGU